GCCGCGGUAAUUCCAGCUUCAGCAGCAUCUAUUAAAGUUGCUGCGGUUAAAAGGCUCGCAGUUGAAUGUCUGUAUCGAGCGCAGGUCAGGUGGACGUUGGGGCGUGGAAGUACGGGCAGUUGGAUGUCCGGGGGGCCUCGUGCUCAACGGCUCCUUCGGCUUUUCCACACACCCCCGUCCCUUACAAGCCUCCUCGCUCGGGUACAUAACGGGAAUCGGUCAAACGGAGUGUGGUCUUGGGAGUUGGGGCGUGCGUGGCUUCGCGGUUGCGUGCGUUCUUUCUUUCGGGGCUGCGUCAAGCUCCAUCGGUUUCACGGUCACCUUGAGUAAAUCAGAGUGCUCAAAGCAGUCGUAGGGGCCUUGCGCCCUGUGAACAGUCUUGACGGACUGACUUGGUUUUGCAUGGCAUGUCGGAAGACGACGUCGUGUGCUGGCUCAGAGGAUAAAUCAGUGGUACAAGCCAGCCUCGACGUAAUGAUUAAAAGGGACGGUCGAGGGCAUUGGUAUUGCGAGGCGAGAGGUGAAAUUCUGUGACCCCCGCAAGACCUCCUGAAGCGAAAGCGUCUGCCAAGGACGUUUUCAUUAAUCAUGAACGAAAGUUAGAGGAUCGAAGGCGAUCAGAUACCGCCCUAGUUCUAACCCUAAACGAUGCCAACCAUCAAUCCGCGCGUAGCACCCUUCUUAACGGGCUCGGCGGGCAGCUCCCCACUCACGGGAAACCAGAGCCUCUGGGUUCCGGGGGGAGUCUGGUUGCAAAGCUGAAACUUAAAGGAAUUGACGGAAAGGCACCACCAGGCGUGGAGCCUGCGGCUUAAUUUGACUCAACACGGGCCAUCUCACCAGGCCAGCACUCUUGUACGAUUGACAGAUUGAGAGCUCUUUCUCGAUUCAGUGGAUGGUGGUGCAUGGCCGUUCUUAGUUGGUGGAGUGGUCUGUCUGGUUAAUUCCGAUAACGAACGAGACCCCGGCCAUCUGACUAGCCGUCGCUACUUGUUAGCGCUUGGCCUAGCCAAGUUCGGCUUCUUAGAGGGACUAACUGUGUUCAGCAGUGGGAAGCGUGGGGCAAUAACAGGUCAGUGAUGCUCUUAUAAGGUCUGGGCUGCACGCGUGCUACAUUGGCGCAUUCAACGAGUCCAACCUUCCUCGAAAGAGAUGGGUAACCUUUAAAGUGCGCCCAAGUGGGGAUAGACGAUUGUAAUUAUUCGUCUUGAACUAGGAACUCCUAGUAAACGCAAGUCAUCAUCUUGCAUUGAUUACGUCCCUGCCCUUUGUACACACCGCCCGUCGCUCCUACCGAUCGAAUAAUGCGGUGAACUGGGUGGAGGAACGCUGUUUCGGCAGUGUUCUUAAGCCCCGUGAACCUUGUUAUUUAGAGGAAGGACAAGUCGUAACAAGGUUUCCGUAGGUGAACCUGCGGAAG
rnacentral:rRNA from 1 species